GUGCCAGCCGCCGCGGUAAUACGGAGGGUGCAAGCGUUAUCCGGAUUUAUUGGGUUUAAAGGGUCCGUAGGCGGAUCUGUAAGUCAGUGGUGAAAUCUCAUAGCUUAACUAUGAAACUGCCAUUGAUACUGCAGGUCUUGAGUAAGGUAGAAGUAGCUGGAAUAAGUAGUGUAGCGGUGAAAUGCAUAGAUAUUACUUAGAACACCAAUUGCGAAGGCAGGUUACUAUGUCUUAACUGACGCUGAUGGACGAAAGCGUGGGGAGCGAACAGGAUUAGAUACCCUGGUAGUCACGCUGUAAACGAUGCUAACUCGUUUUUGGGUUUUCGGAUUCAGAGACUAAGCGAAAGUGAUAAGUUAGCCACCUGGGGAGUACGAACGCAAGUUUGAAACUCAAAGGAAUUGACGGGGGCCCGCACAAGCGGUGGAUUAUGUGGUUUAAUUCGAUGAUACGCGAGGAACCUUACCAAGACUUAAAUGGGAAUUGACAGAUUUAGAAAUAGAUCCUCCUUCGGGCAAUUUUCAAGGUGCUGCAUGGUUGUCGUCAGCUCGUGCCGUGAGGUGUUAGGUUAAGUCCUGCAACGAGCGCAACCCCUGUCACUAGUUGCCAUCAUUCAGUUGGGGACUCUAGUGAGACUGCCUACGCAAGUAGAGAGGAAGGUGGGGAUGACGUCAAAUCAUCACGGCCCUUACGUCUUGGGCCACACACGUAAUACAAUGGCCGGUACAGAGGGCAGCUACACAGCGAUGUGAUGCAAAUCUCGAAAGCCGGUCUCAGUUCGGAUUGGAGUCUGCAACUCGACUCUAUGAAGCUGGAAUCGCUAGUAAUCGCGCAUCAGCCAUGGCGCGGUGAAUACGUUCCCGGGCCUUGUACACACCGCCCGUCAAGCCAUGGAAGUCUGGGGUACCUGAAGUCGGUGACCGUAACAGGAGCUGCCUAGGGUAAAACAGGUAACUAGGGCUAAGUCGUAACAAGGGUAACC
rnacentral:rRNA from 1 species